UCUACAGGCUUAACACAUGCAAGUCGAGGGGCAUCAGGAAGAAAGCUUGCUUUCUUUGCUGGCGACCGGCGCACGGGUGAGUAACACGUAUCCAACCUGCCCUUUACUCGGGGAUAGCCUUUCGAAAGAAAGAUUAAUACCCGAUAGCAUAAUGAUUCCGCAUGGUUUCAUUAUUAAAGGAUUCCGGUAAAGGAUGGGGAUGCGUUCCAUUAGGUUGUUGGUGAGGUAACGGCCCACCAAGCCUUCGAUGGAUAGGGGUUCUGAGAGGAAGGUCCCCCACAUUGGAACUGAGACACGGUCCAAACUCCUACGGGAGGCAGCAGUGAGGAAUAUUGGUCAAUGGGCGCUAGCCUGAACCAGCCAAGUAGCGUGAAGGAUGAAGGCUCUAUGGGUCGUAAACUUCUUUUAUAUAAGAAUAAAGUGCAGUAUGUAUACUGUUUUGUAUGUAUUAUAUGAAUAAGGAUCGGCUAACUCCGUGCCAGCAGCCGCGGUAAUACGGAGGAUCCGAGCGUUAUCCGGAUUUAUUGGGUUUAAAGGGAGCGUAGGUGGACUGGUAAGUCAGUUGUGAAAGUUUGCGGCUCAACCGUAAAAUUGCAGUUGAUACUGUCAGUCUUGAGUACAGUAGAGGUGGGCGGAAUUCGUGGUGUAGCGGUGAAAUGCUUAGAUAUCACGAAGAACUCCGAUUGCGAAGGCAGCUCACUGGACUGCAACUGACACUGAUGCUCGAAAGUGUGGGUAUCAAACAGGAUUAGAUACCCUGGUAGUCCACACAGUAAACGAUGAAUACUCGCUGUUUGCGAUAUACAGUAAGCGGCCAAGCGAAAGCAUUAAGUAUUCCACCUGGGGAGUACGCCGGCAACGGUGAAACUCAAAGGAAUUGACGGGGGCCCGCACAAGCGGAGGAACAUGUGGUUUAAUUCGAUGAUACGCGAGGAACCUUACCCGGGCUUAAAUUGCAGUGGAAUGAUGUGGAAACAUGUCAGUGAGCAAUCACCGCUGUGAAGGUGCUGCAUGGUUGUCGUCAGCUCGUGCCGUGAGGUGUCGGCUUAAGUGCCAUAACGAGCGCAACCCUUAUCUUUAGUUACUAACAGGUUAUGCUGAGGACUCUAGAGAGACUGCCGUCGUAAGAUGUGAGGAAGGUGGGGAUGACGUCAAAUCAGCACGGCCCUUACGUCCGGGGCUACACACGUGUUACAAUGGGGGGUACAGAAGGCAGCUAGCGGGUGACCGUAUGCUAAUCCCAAAAUCCUCUCUCAGUUCGGAUCGAAGUCUGCAACCCGACUUCGUGAAGCUGGAUUCGCUAGUAAUCGCGCAUCAGCCACGGCGCGGUGAAUACGUUCCCGGGCCUUGUACACACCGCCCGUCAAGCCAUGGGAGCCGGGGGUACCUGAAGUACGUAACCGCAAGGAUCGUCCUAGGGUAAAACUGGUGACUGGGGCUAA
rnacentral:rRNA from 1 species